rnacentral:rRNA from 1 species
GACGGAUAGGGGACCUGAGAGGGUGACCCCCCACACUGGAACUGACACACGGUCCAGACUCCUACGGGAGGCAGCAGUAAGGAAUAUUGCGCAAUGGAGGCAACUCUGACGCAGCAACGCCGCGUGCGGGAAGAAGGUCUUCGGAUCGUAAACCGCUUUUCUGAGGGAAGAGCAAGGACGGUACCUCAGGAAUAAGUCUCGGCUAACUACGUGCCAGCAGCCGCGGUAAAACGUAGGAGGCAAGCGUUAUCCGGAUUUACUGGGCGUAAAGCGCGUGCAGGCGGU